UCGGUCCGGGUGGGUCUAAGGGUGAUGAUUGAUCCGCCGUGCGCACGCCAACGCGUUCCUCUGUAGCAGGAGAGGGGGCCUGCGUGUGACCGAGCGUGCGUGGGAGGACGCGCGUGUGUGUCUGUGCGCCCUGAUCACGGUGGUCUGUGGGUGGGGCGGAUCGUGCGCGCGCGCCCGAUCUGUGCGCCCCAAGCCAGCAGCCUUGCUUUACUGGUACCAGUACCUGCCUGCUGCUACCAACCAGUCAACAUGUGGCAUCUUCCAGGCCACUGUGAUGAGUCAGGGAUGAGCAUCUGACUCUGGUUGCUCCAAUCAGCUUGUCCAGGGGCUUUGGCUGGGAAGAUUGGAAAGGAGGCCAGCUUUUUGGGCUGGGGUUGCUGAGAGACAUGAUGAUGAACUGUGUGGCCUACCUGGCAUCUGGCCCCAGCUUCAGCUCCGUUUACUGUCUUGCUCCCCACCCUCACUAGCCUGCAUUGAGGCCUCCUCUAUGCCCCCCAACCCCUGAGUUUCUCAUCCCCAGAGAGCCCAACAUACACAGAAUUGAAGGGUUUUCUCAUUCAUCUUCCUGUGCUCACCCUGAGGACUGGGCCUAUGUCAUCUGCUAACUACUGUCCCCCCAGCACUCACAGUGGAAAAUGGAGUGCUAUGCAGCCCUGCAGCUUGCCUUCUAGAACAGUUCACGGGCAAGGCCUCCCACACUGAACCCUGCUACAGCCAAAUGGUGCCAGGCAACACAGAGCUACUUGUUACAUCAGCUCAGACUAAGCCACAUCCACAGGAGCAUUUGGUGAUUCCACAGAACCACAAGAGACUUGACCUCCUGGAAACGAAUUAACCAAGAUUAAUGAAACAGAUUAAGGUCAUGUGCCCUGUAAAAAUGUCCCUCACUGGAUGAACUGUGACAAGAUGUGAAGGGGACACUGCCGCUGACUGCCUGGUGACAGCUAGCCAGUGGUUGAGAGACCGCAAGAUGGUUCCUCGUCUUUCACUUCCCUUCGUCCCAGGUCUGAACUCGGACCAGCUGGAGCCUUUGGGGGACCACGGAUUCCCCUUUACACUCACACGCAUUUCUCUUGUCCGUCACUCACUCACAGUCCAGUAAGGAUCCUGCUGUCUAUUCCGCAAAGACAUCUUGAAUGCAGGGACAGCCAUGUGGAAGACUGUCCUCGAGGGUGGCAGCAGCCUCUCAGGACGGGGAAAGCCAAGGUCCCCACCCAGCAGGAGGAGGUCCGAGGCUCUGCGCGACGCUGGCCCCGCGGAGUGUGGGGGACUUUUCCUCUCAACCACCAGUGCCCCGCAAGCGUGGGUGAACAGUCCUCCCUGGCUACUGUGGGAUGCUGGGCAGGCGACUUCGCUUCUCUGGGCCUCGGUUUUCCUGCUUGUCAAAUGGGGCUGAUGCUGGCGUGGGCUUCUUCGGGCGGUCGCAAGGGUUGACCCCUGGAAUCAACGAGCCAGCCACGCACGCACUCCCGGCCGGAGGUCGGGGGCUGGGGGCGCACCUCCCGCCUACGCGCCCCGGCCCC